AAUCAACGCUGGCGGCGUGCCUCAGACAUGCAAGUCGAACGCGAAAGUUUCCUUCGGGGAACAAGUAGAGUGGCGCACGGGUGAGUAACACGUAGGUAAUCUACCCUUGGAUGGGGAAUAACAACCGGAAACGGUUGCUAAUACCGCAUAAUGCAGCGGCACCUAAUGGUGACAGUUGUUAAAGCGGGGGAUCGAAAGACCUCGCGUCUGAAGAGGAGCCUGCGGCGGAUUAGCUAGNGGUAAGGUAAUGGCUUACCAAGGCGACGAUCCGUAACCGGCCUGAGAGGGCGGUCGGUCACACUGACACUGACAUACGGGUCAGACUCCUACGGGAGGCAGCAGUCGGGAAUUUUGGGCAAUGGGCGAAAGCCUGACCCAGCAACGCCGCGUGAAGGAUGAAAUCCCUCGGGAUGUAAGCUUCGCAAGAACGGGAAGAAUAAG
rnacentral:rRNA from 1 species